UCCUGCUAACCCUGUUUGUUAAUGUUUGAGAGGAAGCAAUAACACAUAACGUAGUAAUGAUGUAACUAUAACAGACAUAUUUUCCUCUUUUAGCAUUAAAGGGGUGAAGUGCAACAAAAUCCACAACUUCCCCCUUCUUUUCAAAAUGACUAACGCUGUACAAUCUGAGUUUUUACUCACUUCAAUUCCCACAUGGGAUUUUAGGGGAACAUUUGAUCUGAGCAAAUUAAAAAACAAGUGCUAUGACAAGAACCAGCUGGUUUAUUUUCAUGUUAACAACAUCACUCAGAAAUUGGAAACACAAACAUCCUGCUUCAACCUUAAAGGCAGCUAAGAACCUGCCGAUUGUUUCAGAUCUGUGGGAGUGUAGUUCGUUUUUAGUUUUGUUAUAGAAACAGUGGUAGAAAAAGGAAAGUCCCCAUCCAAUCCUGUGUAGAGCUUAGCGUUUCAAGGAAUAAUAAAAAUGACUAGACUGUAAAAUUAUUUAAAUUCCAUCUUGUGUGCACAAAACGGCAGCAGAUUCCACCAUGUUAUGACUUAAUAUGCAAAGAUUAAGCCAAACCAUAAUAAAAGUGUACAAAAAUAGGUGCACUUGUUGAUUCAAAAGUUACGCAAGAACGAUUUAGAAAAAUAAAUAGACCGAUAAGACUUUACCGGUCGCUCACUGUGGAGGAAUUUUGGCACAUUCCAUUCACGGCAUUGGUUGAGUCCUUUGGGAUUUGCAGACAUUUGUUUCUGCACAGCAUUUCAAUCAGGCUAAGGUCUGAGUCAUUGCAGGACUUUGAUUCAUUUUGUUUUUGUUUCAACAGACAUUUUGUAGCAUAUUUGCUACUGUGUUUGGGAGAAUUUUGUCCUGGUUCAUGACCAACAUUCAACCAAGCAUCAGCUGUCAGACAGAUGUCCUCACUUGACCUCAGAGGAUAUAAACAACGGUAAAAACAACCUGAUCUUUUUUAGGCACUAACUGCACGAGCG